UUCUUCUACGCAAUAGCAUCACUCUCUCCCUCUCUCUGCGUAACUGCGUUCUCUCCUUUUUAUCUCUACUGGCGCUCUCUCCUCCUCCGGCAGGUGUCGCCGGGCCUCCCCGCCUCCGGCGCGGCGAGGCCGACCCUCUCCUUCCCCCUCCUUUUCUUUUUUCCCUACUUCCUUCCCAAUUUCUAAAAUCCCCAAAUUAUAGGGUUUGCUGCCUUCCUUUUUCCCUCUGAAAUUCGCCCCUCCGGCGAGGCCCGCCACUGCCGCCGCCGUCUCUGUGGCACCACCGCCACCUCCGUCUCAGGUAAUCUAUCUUCCUCCCUCUCUCACGAUCGAUCUCUCUCUGUCCUCUCUCUGCUCUUCCUCUCGAUCUUCCCCUCUGCCCUCUUGCUUGCGGCGGCCGCGGCAGCGGCAGCGCAUGCAGCGCCGGCGGUCGCCGCCGCUCUGCUCUUCUCUCCCUGCCUCUAUCUCGCUCUACUUUCUCUCAUGUCCGUGUCCCUCUGUCUCUGUCUUACUCUCUGUUUCUCUCCCUCGCUCAAACUCUCUCUGCUACUGGCGGCCACCGCGGACCGCCGUGGCGCAGGCAACGCCGGCAGUCGCGCCUUUGCCGCGGUGGCUCGCGGCUGCUGCUAUUGCUUGCCUCUGUUUCUGUUUCUCUUACUUUCUUUCUUUUCUAGUUUAAUAGCUUGUUUAGCAAAUCCCUAACUAUUUCCUUAUCUCAGGAAUGAAUCGAUGAUUCAACUCCGGCGAGGCAGCCCGCCUCCUGAUCAAUGCUCAAGAUUCUAUUUUUUUCUACCUUUCUUAUUGUAAAUUUAUGUUCUUUCAUUGAUUGAUUAUUGAAAAACUGAAGCUGUAAUGGUUAGGAAAUUGUGCUGUACUUAUAGAAAUUAGAGUUAGAGAUAUCUCUGUUUGUGCUUAACUGGUGUAGCUAUGUCUGUUUUCACUGCUUUUCUUUACAUACUGAAUAUACUGUAUUGAAUAAGAAAGACUACCUUCUUUGAUGUCUGCCGUGGAGGAUGUGUGUUUGAAUGGAUGAUUGCUGCGUGUUUUAGAUUGCAGAAUGGAAACAAAAUGGAAUUACUGAGGCUACUCAAGAUAUACUGGUUUGAGUCGGUUGAUGUGAAGCAGCUGCGUAAAAGUUACAAGCUACGCGUCCUUCUGUUAGCUAAUCUGACUUAACAACUCUAAUAAAUGUCUUAAAUCUAAUUAAAAGUUAAUUGCUUUACUAAUGAUAUAAAGGAUUGGACUUGGACUUCUUUCUAUAUAAUAAAACAACUAGCCCAUAUGAUAAGCUUUGGGCUUCAGAAUUAAUUGAAUAAUUGGGCUCUUAGUAUAAAUUAAAAUCUUAGCCCAUCUCUUUUAUUAAUAUAAUUUGGGCUUCUAAAAUAAUAGCCUAAUCCAACUUGAAAUAAUAAAGGAUUUGGGCUGCUAUAGCUAUAAGUCUCCAUGUAACUCAACUCCUUCCAUAUACUAACAAAGACUGGCCCAAAUAAUAUUAAUAACAUAUAGUAUACUGUAGUGAAAAUGCCAGAUGUUACAGUAUCUGACAAGCAGCUAGUGCAUAGUAAUUGCUUCUUGUUUGUGUAGUUGGGUUGGAUUUCUUUUUGAAGAUCAAGGUCCUUUUUGUUUAUUUCUGCAGAGCCUUCGGCAUUCGAACACAGCGCAUACGUUAUGGGCCGACCUCGUCGAAGAAUUAGCUUCAAAAGU
rnacentral:lncRNA from 1 species